rnacentral:ncRNA from 1 species
CUCGCCGCCGGCCGCGUCGACGGCUCGCCGCCGACGCGCCGGGACGAGACGACAUGUAGCCGCCUCGCGGCUGAAUCGCAAC